AUAGAAUGCACAGCUCUGUGUGAAUUAGUUCCUUCCAUAAUUUACAUGGAGUUACAAAUAGAUGAGAACCCUAUAACUGUUUUUGUCUUUUUAAAAUGUCAGACUUAAUACCUUUUAGAUUUGUCUUUGUUAAAGGAAAUAUUGAAAUGAAAAUCACACCAGCACAGCCCAUAAUUAAUAUUGACCGUAGCCCCAGUUGGAUUAGUUCCACUCUGCAAUAGUUACUGGCACUAGUCCAUUGAUUUAUAAACUAAAAAAACUCUGUGACAAAGCAUUUGAUGGUGGGAUCCUGAUUACAGGCCAAAUUGUGCUUGCUUUACUCCUGCAGUUAGUCCUAUGAGCAUUAUUAGGAAUACUCCCAUGAUUAAGGAGAGCAGGAUUUGACUCCACAUAUGGGCAGGUAUAGGGGACAGAGAUAAUAGCUUGAAAAAACUUGUGUCAUUUUUCCACAGGUGAGAGAGAUCCUGUUUUACAAGCUCAGGUAUCACAGCUCUGACAAAUGAGUAAUCUUGAAAGAACUUGUCUUUGUCCCCCUCCCUUUUAUCCUUGAGGGAAAGAGCUUCAGUAACACCCUUGAGGCCACUGAGUUUAAAGACAGGAGGCAUCUGGUGCUGGUGAAAACACAUCUGAACACUUCCCUUUGGUCUGCCAUUAAAUAUCCUAGUACAACUGUUCUGAACAUCCCAUCCCACGCUGGAAUAGGAAGAGAAGUCCAGCCAGCCAUUUCCCCCGUGGCCAGCCGUAAGGAUCUUCCAGAAGGUAUGUGCUUUGGAUCUCAUCCCCCAGACUAGAGAGAGGAUGUAAAGCCUUUCCUUCUGGGUGGAUCAGAGGAUUGGGACCUGGUGCCCAAAGGCCUUUCUACAUGAAGUCAGUAGGUGAGAGAGCAAAUAAGACAAAGUUGUGGGACAGAGAACACAGAGAGG
rnacentral:lncRNA from 1 species